UUAAGCGACUAAGCGUACACGGUGGAUGCCCUGGCAGUCAGAGGCGAUGAAGGACGUGCUAAUCUGCGAUAAGCGUCGGUGAGGUGAUAUGAACCGUUAUAACCGGCGAUUUCCGAAUGGGGAAACCCAGUGUGUUUCGACACCACUAUCAUUAACUGAAUCCAUAGGUUAAUGAGGCGAACCGGGGGAACUGAAACAUCUAAGUACCCCGAGGAAAAGAAAUCAACCGAGAUUCCCCAGUAGCGGCGAGCGAACGGGAGGAGCCCAGAGCCUGAAUCAGUGUGUGUGUUAGUGGAAGCGUCUGGAAAGGCGUGCGAUACAGGGUGACAGCCCCGUACACAAAAAUGCACAUAUUGUGAGCUCGAUGAGUAGGGCGGGAACGUGGUAUCCUGUCUGAAUAUGGGGGGACCAUCCUCCAAGGCUAAAUACUCCUGACUGACCGAUAGUGAACCAGUACCGUGAGGGAAAGGCGAAAAGAACCCCGGCGAGGGGAGUGAAAAAGAACCUGAAACCGUGUACGUACAAGCAGUGGGAGCCUCUUAAUGGGGUGACUGCGUAACCUUUUGUAUAAUGGGUCAGCGACUUAUAUUCUGUAGCAAGGUUAACCGAAUAGGGGAGCCGAAGGGAAACCGAGUCUUAACUGGGCGUUAAGUUGCAGGGUAUAGACCCGAAACCCGGUGAUCUAGCCAUGGGCAGGUUGAAGGUUGGGUAACACUAACUGGAGGACCGAACCGACUAAUGUUGAAAAAUUAGCGGAUGACUUGUGGCUGGGGGUGAAAGGCCAAUCAAACCGGGAGAUAGCUGGUUCUCCCCGAAAGCUAUUUAGGUAGCGCCUCGUGAAUUCAUCUCCGGGGGUAGAGCACUGUUUCGGCAAGGGGGUCAUCCCGACUUACCAACCCGAUGCAAACUGCGAAUACCGGAGAAUGUUAUCACGGGAGACACACGGCGGGUGCUAACGUCCGUCGUGAAGAGGGAAACAACCCAGACCGCCAGCUAAGGUCCCAAAGUCAUGGUUAAGUGGGAAACGAUGUGGGAAGGCCCAGACAGCCAGGAUGUUGGCUUAGAAGCAGCCAUCAUUUAAAGAAAGCGUAAUAGCUCACUGGUCGAGUCGGCCUGCGCGGAAGAUGUAACGGGGCUAAACCAUGCACCGAAGCUGCGGCAGCGACACUAUGUGUUGUUGGGUAGGGGAGCGUUCUGUAAGCCUGUGAAGGUGGCCUGUGAGGGUUGCUGGAGGUAUCAGAAGUGCGAAUGCUGACAUAAGUAACGAUAAAGCGGGUGAAAAGCCCGCUCGCCGGAAGACCAAGGGUUCCUGUCCAACGUUAAUCGGGGCAGGGUGAGUCGACCCCUAAGGCGAGGCCGAAAGGCGUAGUCGAUGGGAAACAGGUUAAUAUUCCUGUACUUGGUGUUACUGCGAAGGGGGGACGGAGAAGGCUAUGUUGGCCGGGCGACGGUUGUCCCGGUUUAAGCGUGUAGGCUGGUUUUCCAGGCAAAUCCGGAAAACCAAGGCUGAGGCGUGAUGACGAGGCACUACGGUGCUGAAGCGACAAAUGCCCUGCUUCCAGGAAAAGCCUCUAAGCAUCAGGUAACAUCAAAUCGUACCCCAAACCGACACAGGUGGUCAGGUAGAGAAUACCAAGGCGCUUGAGAGAACUCGGGUGAAGGAACUAGGCAAAAUGGUGCCGUAACUUCGGGAGAAGGCACGCUGAUAUGUAGGUGAAGCGACUUGCUCGUGGAGCUGAAAUCAGUCGAAGAUACCAGCUGGCUGCAACUGUUUAUUAAAAACACAGCACUGUGCAAACACGAAAGUGGACGUAUACGGUGUGACGCCUGCCCGGUGCCGGAAGGUUAAUUGAUGGGGUUAGCGGUAACGCGAAGCUCUUGAUCGAAGCCCCGGUAAACGGCGGCCGUAACUAUAACGGUCCUAAGGUAGCGAAAUUCCUUGUCGGGUAAGUUCCGACCUGCACGAAUGGCGUAAUGAUGGCCAGGCUGUCUCCACCCGAGACUCAGUGAAAUUGAACUCGCUGUGAAGAUGCAGUGUACCCGCGGCAAGACGGAAAGACCCCGUGAACCUUUACUAUAGCUUGACACUGAACAUUGAGCCUUGAUGUGUAGGAUAGGUGGGAGGCUUUGAAGUGUGGACGCCAGUCUGCAUGGAGCCGACCUUGAAAUACCACCCUUUAAUGUUUGAUGUUCUAACGUUGGCCCGUAAUCCGGGUUGCGGACAGUGUCUGGUGGGUAGUUUGACUGGGGCGGUCUCCUCCUAAAGAGUAACGGAGGAGCACGAAGGUUGGCUAAUCCUGGUCGGACAUCAGGAGGUUAGUGCAAUGGCAUAAGCCAGCUUGACUGCGAGCGUGACGGCGCGAGCAGGUGCGAAAGCAGGUCAUAGUGAUCCGGUGGUUCUGAAUGGAAGGGCCAUCGCUCAACGGAUAAAAGGUACUCCGGGGAUAACAGGCUGAUACCGCCCAAGAGUUCAUAUCGACGGCGGUGUUUGGCACCUCGAUGUCGGCUCAUCACAUCCUGGGGCUGAAGUAGGUCCCAAGGGUAUGGCUGUUCGCCAUUUAAAGUGGUACGCGAGCUGGGUUUAGAACGUCGUGAGACAGUUCGGUCCCUAUCUGCCGUGGGCGCUGGAGAACUGAGGGGGGCUGCUCCUAGUACGAGAGGACCGGAGUGGACGCAUCACUGGUGUUCGGGUUGUCAUGCCAAUGGCACUGCCCGGUAGCUAAAUGCGGAAGAGAUAAGUGCUGAAAGCAUCUAAGCACGAAACUUGCCCCGAGAUGAGUUCUCCCUGAGACUUAGAGUCUCCUGAAGGAACGUUGAAGACGACGACGUUGAUAGGCCGGGUGUGUAAGCGCAGCGAUGCGUUGAGCUAACCGGUACUAAUGAACCGUGAGGCUUAACCUU
rnacentral:rRNA from 1 species